rnacentral:rRNA from 1 species
CACGUAGGGUGCGAGCGUUGUCCGGAAUUAUUGGGCGUAAAGAGCUCGUAGGCGGUGUGUCGCGUCGGCCGUGAAAACCUGCAGCUUAACUGUGGGCUUGCGGUCGAUACGGGCAUCACUGGAGUUCGGCAGGGGAGACUGGAAUUCCUGGUGUAGCGGUGAAAUGCGCAGAUAUCAGGAAGAACACCCGUGGCGAAGGCGGCUCUCUGGGACGUGACUGACGCUGAGACGCGAAAGCGUGGGGAGCGAACAGG